AUUGAACGCUAGCGGGAUGCUUUACACAUGCAAGUCGAACGAGUGGCGGACGGGUGAGUAAUAUGUCGGAACGUGCCCCUUAGCGGGGGAUAACUCCUCGAAAGCGUGGCUAAUACCCCAUACUAUUGGACCCGCCGGUAUUGGAUUAGCUCGUUGGUGGGGUAAAGGCUCACCAAGGCCACGAUCCGUAGCGGGUUUGAGAGGACGACCAGCCACACUGGGACUGAGACACGGCCCAGACUCCUACGGGAGGCAGCAGUGGGGAAUGUUGGACAAUGGGGGCAAGCCUGAUCCAGCCAUGCCGCGUGUAUGAGAAGGCCUUCGGGUUGUAAAGUACUGUUGGCAGAGAAGCGGUAUCUGCAGAAUAAGCACCGGCUAACUACGUGCCAGCAGCCGCGGUAAUAC
rnacentral:rRNA from 1 species